rnacentral:tRNA from 1 species
GGUUGGUUGGCUCAGUGACUAGAGCGUAGGUCUUGUAACCGAAAGGUUGCGGGAUCGAAUCCCGCUAGAGGCUG